rnacentral:rRNA from 1 species
GACGAACGCUGGCGGCGGGCUUAACACAUGCAAGUCGAACGGCAAGACCCUGCUUUUGUGGGGUGCUCGAGUGGCGAACGGGUGAGUAACACUUGAGUAACCUGCACUUGCCUUUCGGCUCACUUCAGGAAACUGGGGCUAAUACCGGUUAGGAGCUCCUUCUGCUUGGUGGGUGUUGGAUAGUUUCGGCGGUUGGGGAUGGACUCGCGGCUUAUCUGCUUGUUGGUGGGGGAGUGGCUUACCAAGGCGUUGACGGGUAGCCGGCCUGAGAGGGUGACCGGAGACACUGGGACUGAGAUACGGCCCAGACUCAGACGGGAGGCAGCAGUGGGGAAUAUUGCACUAUGGGCGGAAGGCAGAGGCAGCAAUGCCGCGUGCGGGAGUAGGGACUUCGGGUUGUAAACCGCUAUCGCCGGUGACGAAUCGGGAGUGACGGUAAUGGGUAAAGAAGCACCGGCUAACUACGUG